UCACAAAGCAAGCCAGGAGCUCCUUUAAGU
rnacentral:piRNA from 1 species